rnacentral:rRNA from 1 species
AACGAACGCUGGCGGCAUGCCUAACACAUGCAAGUCGAACGAGAUCUUCGGGUCUAGUGGCGCACGGGUGCGUAACGCGUGGGAAUCUGCCCUCAGGUUCGGAAUAACCAUUGGAAACGAUGGCUAAUACCGGAUGAUGACGUUAAGUCCAAAGAUUUAUCGCCUGAGGAUGAGCCCGCGUAGGAUUAGCUAGUUGGUGUGGUAAAGGCGCACCAAGGCGACGAUCCUUAGCUGGUCUGAGAGGAUGAUCAGCCACACUGGGACUGAGACACGGCCCAGACUCCUACGGGAGGCAGCAGUGGGGAAUAUUGGACAAUGGGCGAAAGCCUGAUCCAGCAAUGCCGCGUGAGUGAUGAAGGCCUUAGGGUUGUAAAGCUCUUUUACCCGGGAUGAUAAUGACAGUACCGGGAGAAUAAGCGCCGGCUAACUCCGUG